rnacentral:rRNA from 1 species
UACAUCAGUGGCAGACGGGUGAGUAACACUGGGAACCUUCCUAGAGGUACGGAACAACGCAGGGAAACUUGCGCUAAUACCGUAUAAGCUCUUGCGAGGAAAGAUUUAUCGCCUUUAGACGGGCCCGCGUAGGAUUAGGUAGUUGGUGGGGUAACGGCCUACCAAGCCUACGAUCCUUAGCUGAUCUGAGAGGAUGAUCAGCCACACUGGAACUGAGACACGGUCCAG